CGACGACUACGACGCGGACGGUGCAGAACGACGUCCGAGUUUAACACACUGCGAAGUAGCAGGCGUCGCGGGUCACCAAUUUAAUUAUUAAGUCAGUUCUAAACGGCUACCGUCUGAAGCGGAAGUUAAUCGUGCAGUACCGCACCGUGCGCGUGCAGGCGUCGUUCGCCGCGUCCGUGUAUCGUUAUACCGUGCGGAGCGCAGUUCGGUCCACUUCUGCAAUUGCGGCAGCUGCCCAGGAGAUGACUAAUUGACGGGAAGCGACCCUUCCCUGAAUCGAACUGCAACGGAACCGAAAGUAAAAGCGCAGCGGCGCUGCGCGGAUGCAGGGCUCGAAUUUAAACGGACGAUACAGAUAGCGGGGAAAAGUCGGUGACAAUGUAUAACCGAGAGAAAAAAAAGUAAAGGGGGAGAAGAGCGUAGCUGGCUGUAUACGGGGCGCUAGAGAGAGAGAGAGAGAGAGAGAGAGAGGAGAAAGGAUGCUGCAUUUAUUGAUGUCCUGCCGGAGGCAAAGAGCAAAACCACAAGUAAGGUUUAAAAUAGGUGUACGUGCGAGCGAUAUCAAAUAUGUGGGACGAGAAGGAACCGCGACGAGUUCUACCAUCGAUGUGUGACGUUAAAAGAAAAUUUUCGAACUCGCAACACCAAUUAUCUUUGCGUAAUGUACUCGAUAUAUAAUUAUACAAACUAGAAAUAAAGUAUCUUACUCGAUAUCGUUACAGACAAAAUUUGCUUCUAACGAGUUUUGAAACGUGAGAAGCACUCGCAACUAUAUAUAGUAACGUAAGUGAAACAGAUUUUGUAAUGGCGGAAAUGGAAGGGUUGGCGGUCGGUUGCUAUGCGGGGUUCGCGUACGGAACUGACACCGACAACUCGGUGGAAUAUACGGGUAGCGCGGUGCGACGCGGGACGUGCUAUUUUCCCACCGUACGUGCGGCCGAGGUAUGAGGUAGAAAAAUAUAGGAGAUCGUCGAUGGCUGACUUUUGUACACCCGACGUGUUAAAAAAUUGACAAAAUUUUCCGUCGACAUUCCUGUAUGUUUGUAAUGAAAAAAAAAAAAAUAAAAAAAAUAAAAAUCGUCUCGAAAAGCUUCUCGUUAGGGAUAUUUUUGAGGAUACGAAAAAUCGGAGGUGAAUAUAAUGAGAGGGAGAAAAGUAAAAAUAUGGAAGAAAGAGGUAAGAAAUUUGCAAAACGAGGUAAGAACUAGACGCCUCGUAUACCUAUGUAGUAUACCCAGAAUGCGUUGGGUACAAACGAAGCACUUGGGCUCCUCAAACUUCAUCCUCUCGAGCCUUAUUAAACCCUGACAGAAUGGCGACAAGACGUCGUCGUUAGAGGCGAAGAAGCAUCGUCCG
rnacentral:lncRNA from 1 species